GGGCAUGUGGCGAAAUGGUCUACCGCGUUCGACUUCUAACCGAAAGAUUGCAGGUUCGAGUCCUGCCAUGCUCG